UACGUAGGUGGCAAGCGUUGUCCGGAAUUACUGGGCGUAAAGAGCGCGCAGGCGGCUGGUCAAGUCCGAUGUGAAAGCUUCCGGCUUAACUGGGAAAUUGCAUCGGAAACUGAUCGGCUUGAAGGUGGGGAGAGGGUAGUGGAAUUCCCGGUGUAGUGGUGAAAUGCGUAGAUAUCGGGAGGAACACCAGUGGCGAAGGCGACUACCUGGCCCACUCUUGACGCUGAGGCGCGAAAGCUAGGGGAGCGAACAGG
rnacentral:rRNA from 1 species